rnacentral:rRNA from 1 species
UACAGAGGGGGCAAGCGUUAUUCGGAAUUAUUGGGCGUAAAGGGCGCGUAGGCGGUUUUGUAAGUCUUGUGUGAAAUCUUCAGGCUCAACUUGAAGACUGCACGAGAAACUGCAGGGCUUGAGUGUGGGAGAGGUGAGUGGAAUUCCUGGUGUAGCGGUGAAAUGCGUAGAUAUCAGGAGGAACACCUGUGGCGAAAGCGGCUCACUGGACCACAACUGACGCUGAUGCACGAAAGCUAGGGGAGCAAACAGG